rnacentral:rRNA from 1 species
AGUGAACGCUGGCGGUAGGCCUAACACAUGCAAGUCGAACGGCAGCACAGUAAGAGCUUGCUCUUACGGGUGGCGAGUGGCGGACGGGUGAGGAAUACAUCGGAAUCUACUUUUUCGUGGGGGAUAACGUAGGGAAACUUACGCUAAUACCGCAUACGACCUACGGGUGAAAGCAGGGGAUCUUCGGACCUUGCGCGAUUGAAUGAGCCGAUGUCGGAUUAGCCAGUUGGCGGUGUAAAGGCCCACCAAGGCGACGAUCCGUAGCUGGUCUGAGAGGAUGAUCAGCCACACUGGAACUGAGACACGGUCCAGACUCCUACGGGAGGCAGCAGUGGGGAAUAUUAGACAAUGGGCGCAAGCCUGAUCCAGCCAUACCGCGUGGGUGAAGAAGGCCUUCGGGUUGUAAAGCCCUUUUGUUGGGAAAGAAAAGCAGCAGGUUAAUACCCCGCUGUUCUGACGGUACCCAAAGAAUAAGCACCGGCUAACUUCGUG